GCUCAAACUCUUUAGAACGUUGCAGUACAGUAAGCAAUUGCAUAAUUCGAAUCAGACUGGCUUUAGGACCACACGCAGGCACUUUGCGUUUGGGUAGUUGCUGAUCUGGUUACCAUAGUAUAGAGGCUACCAUUGCCUCUAGCAACUGAUCUCUGGCUCAUGAAAGUUUGGUACCUCUAGCUAUUUACCUCCCGUAACGUAUGAAUCAGGUAGAUGUUUAGAUUAUCAGACUGUUUUUCUAAAACAGGCAACCAUGUAUGAACAAUAGUUGCUAGCUAACGUUUUGUUCGCUAGCUAGCAAACAGUCUACAUUAUACUAGGUUCACCUCACUCACAGCUAGCACCGAUAUGACACCAGCCGAGAAAAGACGGAAGUUAGACAUAAGGGCGUUUUUUUUAAUGCAAAGACAAGCAGAACCUGAAUGAUGUUGAGUCGACCAGUGUAGUCAUGGAAGAGAGUUGUGGUGGAGCAGAAUCAAUGAGAUGUGUCCAUCAGGGUACUUACAUCAUAUGGCCAAAGGUAUGUGGACACCUGACCAUCACACCUAAAUAUGCUUGUCCUAUUCCAAAACUAUGGGCAUUUGCAAAAACAUAUUUGUCCCUACUGGCGCACCCAUUGUGGGUGUGCUAAACCAGGGCCCGCAGUGGGUGGGAGGCCUGUGCUUGACCUGUAUACAUUUUUUUUUUGUGAUUUAACAUUUUGUGUGUUUCUAUGUGGUUAGACACACAAUUGUGUGUUUCACAGUCAGACCUCAAGAUCGGGUUUCAAUGUGUAUAUACCGCUUCGCAAUUUUUUGUCCUGGGAGAGGGUCCACGUACCCCGGCCCGGCGUCACCAUACUACGCCAGUGUUUGUCCCCCUCACAUUUGAAAUCAAACCUCCGCCCCUGAGUGCAACAAUACACGCACCACUGUCUCCUCAACCACCUAAAUCAUCCCAGUACCACUUGUUUGAUUGGU